UGAGGAAUCUUGGGCAAUGGGCGAAAGCCUGACCCAGCGAUGCCGCGUGAGUGAAGAAGGCCUUAGGGUUGUAAAGCUCUUUUAGUAGGGAAGAUAAUGACGGUACCUACAGAAAAAGCCCCGGCAAACUCCGUGCCAGCAGCCGCGGUAAGACGGAGGGGGCUAGCGUUGUUCGGAAUUACUGGGCGUAAAGGGCGCGUAGGUGGUUUUACAAGUCAGAAGUGAAAGCCCUAGGCUUAACCUAGGAAUUGCUUUUGAAACUGUAGAUACUAGAGUACUGGAGAGGGUAGUGGAAUUCCUAGUGUAGAAGUGGAAUUCUUAGAUAUUUGGAGGAACGCCAGAGGCGAAGGCGACUACCUGGACAGAUACUGACACUGAGGCGCGAAAGCGUGGGGAGCAA
rnacentral:rRNA from 1 species